GGAGAGGUGCCAGAGCGGUAAUGGAGCAGAUUGCUAAUCUGUCAUCGGGAAACCGAUGCCAGGGUUCGAGUCCCUGUCUCUCCG
rnacentral:tRNA from 13 species